UAGAAAAUGCACAGUGUCAAGUUUUAACUGCCUGAAGGUGCUGCCUGUGGAGGAUCCAGUUAAUGAGGAGGAAGCACUAGCUUUCAGUUAGGAACCAUCCUGAGGAAGCAGGUUGUAUGGAAGUCUCCUUCACAGAGAGGGCUGUUGGCUCAAGAGAGGUACCCACUCCAGGUACAGUCACAAGCAGAGCAGUAACUCAGCAAGCAUUAGGCUGUUGAAGACACUUUAGGCAUUCCACCAUCAGAGAGCUCUACUGGAUGUGUUGGGAAGGUCCAGUUUCAUUGUUGAUACCACUGGUGGGACACAUAGCAUGGAGCAAGAAGUUGGGACGUCCAAGGAAAGCUUGCCCAGCUACUGCUGAGACAUGCUGUACCUCUUGAGUUUCCUUCUCCUGGAAACAAUGUCACUGGGAAAGUACCACAUACAGCAUAAAGUAAUUCUUGGUUUUGGGAAUCCGGGGUUUCAGCUGCCAGAAGUUUAUGCAGAGAAAUAUAAGCAUUAAUAAAC
rnacentral:lncRNA from 1 species